CAAUGAUGUACUGAACAUAUGUUACAUCCUAGACGCAACCCAAUGCAAAUUCUGAGAGAAUUAUUGUCCAUGAAAGUUCCAAUAUUCGAAGAAGGAAUUGAAUGUAGCCAGGCGUUAGAUUCUUUACAUUGUAAAGCCUGAAAACGUGCUAAAUCAACCUUAGAGGUAAAUUUUAAAUUCGUUUUGAUUAUUCGUUGAAUGUUGAUAAGAUCCCAAGCCUUUUGUGAGGACUUCAAAGAAGGUACAUGAACAUUGAAACCUUUCCAUUUCUCUAAAGCUUCAUCGAAUCUAAUGGAAAAGGCCUCGUCGUGAGAAUUUACGAUACGAGAGACGAGGCCCUUAACACCAAAUGAAGAGCUGAGGAAAGCCGCGUUAAUUGAUAAAAAGCUUCUAGUCGCGUGUACCGCAGCUUCACAACCUUGCCUGGUACCAACUCCCAACUGAAGAGGAUACAGAAAUUCGCCCAUUGCGAUUGGGCGGAUUCCUCCAUCUUUCUUCAUAAGUGCACAGAGAGAAGCACCGAAGGCGUAUUGACAAAUUGCAUCAU